UUUACUUUGUUCUAUCAUUUGUAUUCUCGAAAGAUUUUCUGAGCACGAAUUUGAUUCAACUCAUUCGAACAAGUGCAUGUCUGAAUCAAAGGUUGUGUUAACCUUGGGGAGCAUUCUAGCAAUGCAAUGAUUUAGCACCGAGGUCGGGCCAAUUUUGCUUUCAAGGCAGUGGUUCCGCCCAUGACACAACAACAAUUUCUCUACCAUUCAAGUUUUUGUCCUUAUCCUUUCCAACAAAUUGAAAGCAAAAUCCAUGACUAUUAUCUGAUUCGGAAAGGUCCUGCUAGACUUGUCAAAAUUUGAACCACUUGAUGGAUCCAACUAUCGCCGCUGGUCCCAGAAGCUACUGAUUUUCUUUGAGUAGUUGGAGAUCGAUUACAUCCACACUGCUGCUAGCCCGCAGUUGUUGCUGUCACUAUUGUCACUACCAUCACCAUUGUUGCUGCCGCCGCAACUACCUCAAUUGUCGCUGUUGAUCCUAGGACGUCUAUUGCCACUGUCAUCAAUAUUGACAAAUUCGAGAAAGACAAUAAGGACUAUCCGAAGAAGUAUGUUGUUGGUAAAUGGCCGCAAUUUCAAAUGUCGGAUGACAAACCAAUAAUGGAUCAGGUUCAUGAGUAUGAAAUCCUGGUGGAAAAUGUGCUGACUGAAGGCAUGAAGAUGUGUGAGAUCCUUCAAGCGAAUGUGCUAAUGGAAAAAUCUUCUCCUUCCUAGAGUGAUUAUUGCAACCACCUGAAACAUAAGAAGAAGAACCUUACUUUGUAAGAACACAUGCGCACAGAGGAAGCCAAUAGGCAUAAUAAUAAGUUUUCUUCUCAA